rnacentral:rRNA from 1 species
CACCGGCUAACUUCGUGCCAGCAGCCGCGGUAAUACGAAGGGUGCAAGCGUUGCUCGGAAUUAUUGGGCGUAAAGCGUACGCAGGCGGUCUACCAAGUCGGGCGUGAAAGUCCGGGGCUCAACUCCGGGAAGUCGCACGAAACUAGCAGACUUGAGUUCGGGAGAGGGGUGUGGAAUUCCCAGUGUAGAAGUGAAAUUCGUAGAUAUUGGGAGGAACACCGGUGGCGAAGGCGACACCCUGGCCCGAAACUGACGCUCAUGUACGAAAGCGUGGGUAGCAAACAGGAUUAGAUACCCUGGUAGUCCACGCCGUAAACGAUGGGUGCCAGAUGUUGCGGGUAUUAUUCCUGCAGCGUCGUAGCUAACGCAUUAAGCACCCCGCCUGGGGAGUACGGCCGCAAGGUUAAAAACUCAAAGGAAUUGAC